UGGGGAAUAUUGGACAAUGGGGGCAACCCUGAUCCAGCCAUGCCGCGUGUGUGAAGAAGGCCUUCGGGUUGUAAAGCACUUUAAGUGGGGAAAAAGGCUCCAAAGUUAAUACCUUUGGGGAUUGAUACUACCCACAGAAUAAGCACCGGCUAACUCUGUGCCAGCAGCCGCGGUAAUACAGAGGGUGCAAGCGUUAAUCGGAAUUACUGGGCGUAAAGCGCGCGUAGGCGGCUGUCUAAGUCGGGUGUGAAAGCCCCGGGCUCAACCUGGGAACUGCACUCGAUACUGGGCGGCUAGAGUAUGAGAGAGGGAGGUAGAAUUCCACGUGUAGCGGUGAAAUGCGUAGAUAUGUGGAGGAAUACCGGUGGCGAAGGCGGCCUCCUGGUUCAAUACUGACGCUGAGGUGCGAAAGCGUGGGGAGCAAACAGG
rnacentral:rRNA from 1 species